CAAGGAUGGGUGACCUCAUGGGAAGUCGGGCGAGAGUAGUACAAGGAUGGGUGACCUCAUGGGAAGUCCUCGUGCUGCAUUCCC
rnacentral:rRNA from 1 species